rnacentral:rRNA from 1 species
GAUGAACGCUAGCUACAGGCUUAACACAUGCAAGUCGAGGGGAAACGAUAUUGGAAGCUUGCUUCCGAUAGACGUCGACCGGCGCACGGGUGAGUGACGCGUAUCCAACCUGCCCAUCACUUGGGGAUAACCUUGCAAAAGUAAGACUAAUACCCAAUGACGUCUCUAGAAGACAUCUGAAAGAGAUUAAAGAUUUAUCGGUGAUGGAUGGGGAUGCGUCUGAUUAGCUUGUUGGCGGGGUAACGGCCCACCAAGGCGACGAUCAGUAGGGGUUCUGAGAGGAAGGUCCCCCACAUUGGAACGGAGACACGGUCCAAACUCCUACGGGAGGCAGCAGUGAGGAAUAUUGGUCAAUGGGCGAGAGCCUGAACCAGCCAAGUAGCGUGCAGGAUGACGGCCCUAUGGGUUGUAAACUGCUUUUAUAAGGGAAUAAAGUGAGUCUCGUGAGACUUUUUGCAUGUACCUUAUGAAUAAGGACCGGCUAAUUCCGUGCCAGCCGCCGCAGUAA